UACAGAGGGGGCAAGCGUUGUUCGGAAUCACUGGGCGUAAAGCGCACGUAGGCGGAUUGCUAAGUCAGGGGUGAAAUCCUGGAGCUCAACUCCAGAACUGCCUUUGAUACUGGCGAUCUUGAGUCCGGGAGAGGUGAGUGGAACUGCGAGUGUAGAGGUGAAAUUCGUAGAUAUUCGCAAGAACACCAGUGGCGAAGGCGGCUCACUGGCCCGGUACUGACGCUGAGGUGCGAAAGCGUGGGGAGCAAACAGG
rnacentral:rRNA from 1 species